UUCUGUUUAUGAGGUAGUUUUCGGGGCCUGGGGUAAAUGGGCAGUGCUUCUACGCAAAGCUGGUCAGGCAAUUGCAGUUGCGGAGGUGGAUGGGGAGUUCAACUCAGCUGAGCAAGCAACUG
rnacentral:ribozyme from 1 species